UCCCGCGUCUAUUAAUUGUAGACUUUGCGAAUGGUUUAACGUUUCUUUUAUUGUGUCGGUUUUGUUAACUAGAAAUUUUUUUUAAAGUUAAGAAACUUUAAUGAUUUUAAAAGACGAGAAGACCCCGUGAAACUUUAUUUUGAGUAAAAAAAUUUUUUACAGUGAAAUUUUGUUGGGGUAACAUUUUCUAAUAAAAAAAAGAAAAAAAACUAUUUUAGUAAAUUAAUAAAUUUUUUGAUCCAAGGUUUUUUGAUUGUAGAUAAAGUUACUCCGGGGAUAACAGGAUAAUUUUUUUUGUUUAGAUCUUAUUUCAAAAAAAGUUUGUCACCUCGAUGUUGGCUUAAGCGAACUUAUUCGGCGCAGCCGCUGAACUGAGUGGGACUGUUCGUCCUUUUAAUGCUUACGUGAUCUGAG
rnacentral:rRNA from 1 species